rnacentral:rRNA from 1 species
GGGUCAGUAGGUUGGUCGCGCCACUGGUACGUACUGGUCUCACUGAUUCCUCCUUCCUGAAGAACCGUAAUGCCAUUAAUUUGGUGUUGCGGGGAAACAGGACUGUUACUUUGAAAAAAUUAGAGUGUUUAAAGCAAGCUAACGCUUGAAUACAUUAGCAUGGAAUAAUGAAAUAGGACGAUCGAUCCUAUUUUGUUGGUUUCUAGGAUUGACGUA